rnacentral:rRNA from 1 species
UUAAGCGACUAAGCGUACACGGUGGAUGCCCUGGCAGUCAGAGGCGAUGAAGGACGUGCUAAUCUGCGAAAAGCGUCGGUAAGGUGAUAUGAACCGUUAUAACCGGCGAUGUCCGAAUGGGGAAACCCAGUGCAAUUCGUUGCACUAUCGUUAACUGAAUACAUAGGUUAACGAGGCGAACCGGGGGAACUGAAACAUCUAAGUACCCCGAGGAAAAGAAAUCAACCGAGAUUCCCCCAGUAGCGGCGAGCGAACGGGGAGCAGCCCAGAGUCUGAAUCAGCUUGUGUGUUAGUGGAACGGUCUGGAAAGUCCGACGGUACAGGGUGAUAGUCCCGUACACCAAAAUGCACAGGCUGUGAACUCGAAGAGUAGGGCGGGACACGUGGUAUCCUGUCUGAAUAUGGGGGGACCAUCCUCCAAGGCUAAAUACUCCUGACUGACCGAUAGUGAACCAGUACCGUGAGGGAAAGGCGAAAAGAACCCCGGCGAGGGGAGUGAAAAAGAACCUGAAACCGUGUACGUACAAGCAGUGGGAGCACCUUCGGGUGUGACUGCGUACCUUUUGUAUAAUGGGUCAGCGACUUAUAUUCUGUAGCAAGGUUAACCGUAUAGGGGAGCCGCAGGGAAACCGAGUCUUAACUGGGCGUUAAGUUGCAGGGUAUAGACCCGAAACCCGGUGAUCUAGCCAUGGGCAGGUUGAAGGUUGGGUAACACUAACUGGAGGACCGAACCGACUAAUGUUGAAAAAUUAGCGGAUGACUUGUGGCUGGGGGUGAAAGGCCAAUCAAACCGGGAGAUAGCUGGUUCUCCCCGAAAGCUAUUUAGGUAGCGCCUCGUGAAUUCAUCUUCGGGGGUAGAGCACUGUUUCGGCUAGGGGGUCAUCCCGACUUACCAACCCGAUGCAAACUACGAAUACCGAAGAAUGUUAUCACGGGAGACACACGGCGGGUGCUAACGUCCGUCGUGAAGAGGGAAACAACCCAGACCGCCAGCUAAGGUCCCAAAGUCAUGGUUAAGUGGGAAACGAUGUGGGAAGGCACAGACAGCCAGGAUGUUGGCUUAGAAGCAGCCAUCAUUUAAAGAAAGCGUAAUAGCUCACUGGUCGAGUCGGCCUGCGCGGAAGAUGUAACGGGGCUAAACCAUGCACCGAAGCUGCGGCAGCGACACUAUGUGUUGUUGGGUAGGGGAGCGUUCUGUAAGCCUGCGAAGGUGACCUGUGAGGGUUGCUGGAGGUAUCAGAAGUGCGAAUGCUGACAUAAGUAACGAUAAAGCGGGUGAAAAGCCCGCUCGCCGGAAGACCAAGGGUUCCUGUCCAACGUUAAUCGGGGCAGGGUGAGUCGACCCCUAAGGCGAGGCCGAAAGGCGUAGUCGAUGGGAAACAGGUUAAUAUUCCUGUACUUGGUGUUACUGCGAAGGGGGGACGGAGAAGGCUAUGUUAGCCGGGCGACGGUUGUCCCGGUUUAAGCAUGUAGGCUGGUUGUCCAGGCAAAUCCGGAUAAUCAAGGCUGAGGUGUGAUGACGAGGCACUACGGUGCUGAAGUAACAAAUGCCCUGCUUCCAGGAAAAGCCUCUAAGCAUCAGGUAACAUUAAAUCGUACCCCAAACCGACACAGGUGGUCAGGUAGAGAAUACCAAGGCGCUUGAGAGAACUCGGGUGAAGGAACUAGGCAAAAUGGUGCCGUAACUUCGGGAGAAGGCACGCUGGUGUGUAGGUGAAGCCCCUGCGGGUGGAGCUGAGACCAGUCGAAGAUACCAGCUGGCUGCAACUGUUUAUUAAAAACACAGCACUGUGCAAACACGAAAGUGGACGUAUACGGUGUGACGCCUGCCCGGUGCCGGAAGGUUAAUUGAUGGGGUUAUCCGUAAGGAGAAGCUCUUGAUCGAAGCCCCGGUAAACGGCGGCCGUAACUAUAACGGUCCUAAGGUAGCGAAAUUCCUUGUCGGGUAAGUUCCGACCUGCACGAAUGGCGUAAUGAUGGCCAGGCUGUCUCCACCCGAGACUCAGUGAAAUUGAACUCGCUGUGAAGAUGCAGUGUACCCGCGGCAAGACGGAAAGACCCCGUGAACCUUUACUAUAGCUUGACACUGAACAUUGAGCCUUGAUGUGUAGGAUAGGUGGGAGGCUUUGAAGCGUGGACGCCAGUCUGCGUGGAGCCAACCUUGAAAUACCACCCUUUAAUGUUUGAUGUUCUAACGUUGGCCCCUUACCGGGGUUGCGGACAGUGUCUGGUGGGUAGUUUGACUGGGGCGGUCUCCUCCCAAAGCGUAACGGAGGAGCACGAAGGUUAGCUAAUCCUGGUCGGACAUCAGGAGGUUAGUGCAAUGGCAUAAGCUAGCUUGACUGCGAGCGUGACGGCGCGAGCAGGUGCGAAAGCAGGUCAUAGUGAUCCGGUGGUUCUGAAUGGAAGGGCCAUCGCUCAACGGAUAAAAGGUACUCCGGGGAUAACAGGCUGAUACCGCCCAAGAGUUCAUAUCGACGGCGGUGUUUGGCACCUCGAUGUCGGCUCAUCACAUCCUGGGGCUGAAGUAGGUCCCAAGGGUAUGGCUGUUCGCCAUUUAAAGUGGUACGCGAGCUGGGUUUAGAACGUCGUGAGACAGUUCGGUCCCUAUCUGCCGUGGGCGCUGGAGAAUUGAGGGGGGCUGCUCCUAGUACGAGAGGACCGGAGUGGACGCAUCACUGGUGUUCGGGUUGUCAUGCCAAUGGCACUGCCCGGUAGCUAAAUGCGGAAGAGAUAAGUGCUGAAAGCAUCUAAGCACGAAACUUGCCCCGAGAUGAGUUCUCCCUGAGACUUUAAGUCUCCUGAAGGAACGUUAAAGACGAUGACGUUGAUAGGCCGGGUGUGUAAGCGCAGCGAUGCGUUGAGCUAACCGGUACUAAUGAACCGUGAGGCUUAACCUU